UACGUAGGGCGCAAGCGUUAUCCGGAAUUAUUGGGCGUAAAGAGCUCGUAGGCGGUUUGUCGCGUCUGCCGUGAAAGUCCGGGGCUCAACUCCGGAUCUGCGGUGGAUACUGGCAGGCUAGAGUGCGGUAGAGGUCUCGGGAAUUCCAGGUGUAGCGGUGAAAUGCGUAGAUAUCUGGAGGAACACCGGUGGCGAAAGCGCGAGACUGGGCCGUAAACUGACGCUGAGGAACGAAAGCCAGGGGAGCAAAAGGG
rnacentral:rRNA from 1 species